UGCAGUCGAACGACAUAGUGGCAGACGGGUGAGUAACGCGUGGGAACGUGCCUUUCACUACGGAAUAGCUCUUGGAAACGAGUGGUAAUACCGUAUACGCCCUCCGGGGGAAAGAUUUAUCGGUGAAAGAUCGGCCCGCGUUAGAUUAGCUUGUUGGUGAGGUAAUGGCUCACCAAGGCGACGAUCUAUAGCUGGUCUGAGAGGAUGAUCAGCCACACUGGGACUGAGACACGGCCCAGACUCCUACGGGAGGCAGCAGUGGGGAAUCUUGCACAAUGGGCGAAAGCCUGAUGCAGCCAUGCCGCGUGAAUGAUGAAGGCCUUAGGGUUGUAAAAUUCUUUCGCUAGGGAUGAUAAUGACAGUACCUAGUAAAGAAGCACCGGCUAACUUCGUGCCAGCAGCCGCGGUAAUACGAAGGGUGCUAGCGUUGUUCGGAAUUACUGGGCGUAAAGCGCGCGUAGGCGGACUAUUAAGUCAGAUGUGAAAUCCCAAGGCUCAACCUUGGAACUGCAUUUGAAACUGGUAGUCUAGAGAUCAGGAGAGGUUGGCGGAAUACCGAGUGUAGAGGUGAAAUUCGUAGAUAUUCGGUGGAACACCAGUGGCGAAGGCGGCCAACUGGACUG
rnacentral:rRNA from 1 species